AUUGAACGCUGGCGGUAUGCUUAAGACAUGCAAGUCGAACGGUAACAGGUUAAGCUGACGAGUGGCGGACGAGUGAGUAACGCGUGGGAAUCUACCUUGUAGUGGGGGAUAAGCCAGGGAAACUUGGACUAAUACCGCAUAUGCCCUAAGGGGGAAAGGCGCAAGUCGCUAUAAGAUGAGCCCGCGUCUGAUUAGGUAGUUGGUGGGGUAAAGGCCUACCAAGCCGACGAUCAGUAGCUGGUCUGAGAGGAUGAUCAGCCACGUCGGGACUGAGACACGGCCCGGACUCCUACGGGAGGCAGCAGUCGGGAAUAUUGGACAAUGGGGGAAACCCUGAUCCAGCAAUACCGCGUGUGUGAAGAAGGCCUGCGGGUUGUAAAGCACUUUCAGUUGGGAAGAUAAUGACGUUACCAACAGAAGAAGCACCGGCUAACUCCGUGCCAGCAGCCGCGGUAAGGUGCGCGAGU
rnacentral:rRNA from 1 species